rnacentral:tRNA from 4 species
GCGCGGGUGGUGGAACUGGCAGACACGUACGCUUGAGGUGCGUAUGCCCGAAAGGGUUUGGGGGUUCAAGUCCCCCCUCGCGCA